UUGUGCUAGAUGGGGAGUUAGCGGUGCCCUGUAACCUGCAAUCCGCUACAGCAGGAUUGAAUUCCCUACCGAGGUCUUAAUUUGUGGUGUCGACCUAUGCAAGUGAUGUUGAGAGUUAGGCCCCACGCGAUGGAACCCUGUGAACCUCGUCAGGUCCGGAAGGAAGCAGCGAUAAGCAGUCACUUUCAUGUGCCGUGGAUAAGUCUAAUUUGAGUUAACUACAUAGGUAACGGCCAUAGAUUAUUGCCAGAGUAGGGUGCACAA
rfam:Clostridium ventriculi strain 2789STDY5834858 genome assembly, contig: SCcontig000008